rnacentral:lncRNA from 1 species
CUGUAUCUGGCCUAGGAUGCAGACAGGCAGAAGGAGGAGAUGGACAGGAGCCAGGACACCUGAAGCCCAGCCACUGCCCUUGCCAUCAGGGGAGCUCACUAAUCAGCACCCACAUGGGGAGCUGCUGUGACACCAGGUAAAAAAGCAAAAUUGAGACUGUAGGCAAAAAUAAAAAUAAAAAAUAAAAAUCAACAAAUAAAGAGCGCUUCAUACAACAAAUAAGGAUA